CUUGGGCUCACUUUGUAGCCCAGGCUAGCCUCAAAUUCACACCGAUCCUCCUGCUUCAGCCUCCCAAGUGCUGGGAU
rnacentral:miRNA from 1 species